rnacentral:rRNA from 1 species
UGAGCAAUCUGCCCUUCACAUCGGAAUAACCAUUGGAAACGAUGGCUAAUACCGAAUAUGACUUCGGAUCGCAUGAUCUGAAGUGGAAAGCUCCGGCGGUGAAGGAUGAGCUCGCGGCCUAUCAGCUUGUUGGUGAGGUAAUAGCUCACCAAGGCGAUGACGGGUAGCCGGCCUGAGAGGGCGACCGGCCACACUGGGACUGAGAUACCGGCAGA